GUGAGGUAACGGCUCACCAAGGCAACGAUGCGUAGCCGACCUGAGAGGGUGAUCGGCCACACUGGGACUGAGACACGGCCCAGACUCCUACGGGAGGCAGCAGUAGGGAAUYUUCCGCAAUGGACGAAAGUCUGACGGAGCAACGCCGCGUGAGUGAUGAAGGCUUUCGGGUCGUAAAACUCUGUUGUUAGGGAAGAACAAGUGCUAGUUGAAUAAGCUGGCACCUUGACGGUACCUAACCAGAAAGCCACGGCUAACUACGUGCCAGCAGCCGCGGUAAUACGUAGGUGGCAAGCGUUAUCCGGAAUUAUUGGGCGUAAAGCGCGCGCAGGUGGUUUCUUAAGUCUGAUGUGAAAGCCCACGGCUCAACCGUGGAGGGUCAUUGGAAACUGGGAGACUUGAGUGCARAAAAGGAAAGUGGAAUUCCAUGUGUAGCGGUGAAAUGCGUAGAGAUAUGGAGGAACACCAGUGGCGAAGGCGACUUUCUGGUCUGUAACUGACACUGAGGCGCGAAAGCGUGGGGAGCAAACAGGAUU
rnacentral:rRNA from 1 species